rnacentral:rRNA from 1 species
GAYGAACGCUGGCGGCGUGCCUAAUACAUGCAAGUCGAGCGAACAGAAGGGAGCUUGCUCCCGGAUGUUAGCGGCGGACGGGUGAGUAACACGUGGGUAACCUGCCUGUAAGACUGGGAUAACUCCGGGAAACCGGAGCUAAUACCGGAUAGUUCCUUGAACCGCAUGGUUCAAGGAUGAAAGACGGUUUCGGCUGUCACUUACAGAUGGACCCGCGGCGCAUUAGCUAGUUGGUGGGGUAAUGGCUCACCAAGGCGNNGAUGCGUAGCCGACCUGAGAGGGUGAUCGGCCACACUGGGACUGAGACACGGCCCAGACUCCUACGGGAGGCAGCAGUAGGGAAUCUUCCGCAAUGGACGAAAGUCUGACGGAGCAACGCCGCGUGAGUGAUGAAGGUUUUCGGAUCGUAAAG